rnacentral:rRNA from 1 species
AUUGAACGCUGGCGGCAGGCUUAACACAUGCAAGUCGAGCGAGCGGCAGACGGGUGAGACAUGUCUGGGAAACUGCACGAUGCAGGGGGAUCCCUACUGCCCACGGUAGCUCAUCCCGCAUACCAUCAGCUGUCCCCAGCUGGGAUUAGCUAGUAGGUGGGGUAAUGGCCCACCUAGGCGACGCUCCCUAGCUGUUCUGAGGGGAUGACCAGCCACACUGGAACUGAGACACGGUCCAGACUCCUACGGGAGGCAGCAGUGGGGAAUAUUGCACAAUGGGCGCAAGCCUGAUGCAGCCAUGCCGCGUGUGUGAAGAAGGCCUUCGGGUUGUAAAGCACUUUCAGCGAGGAGGCGUUACUCGCAGAAGAAGCACCGGCUAACUCCGUGCCAGCAGCCGCGGUAAUAC